rnacentral:rRNA from 1 species
CACGUAGUUAGCCGUGGCUUGCUCGUCGGGUACCGUCUUAAAAAGGGCAUUUCCUCCCCUUCCCUUUCGUCCCCAACAACAGAGCUUUACGAUCCGAAGACCUUCUUCACUCACGCGGCGUUGCUCCGUCAGGCUUGCGCCCAUUGCGGAAGAUUCCCCACUGCUGCCUCCCGUAGGAGUAUGGGCCGUGUCUCAGUCCCAUUGUGGCCGUUCAUCCUCUCAGACCGGCUACUGAUCGUCGCUUUGGUGAGCCGUUACCUCACCAACUGGCUAAUCAGACGCAGGCCCUUCCUUCGGCGAUGGCUUGCACCAUCUUUCCUCUUUCUUUCAUGCGAAAGUUAGAGUCCAUUCGGUAUUAGCGGUCCUUUCGGGCCGUUGUCCCCAUCCUAAGGGCAGGUUGCCUACGCGUUACUCACCCGUUUGCCACUAAGCUAUCUACCGAAUAACAGCUCGUUCGACUUGCAUGUGUUAAGCACGCCGCCAGCGUUCGUCCUGACGCCACGGAUACAACUCU